AUCCGACCAGAGAGACAACGAUGGGGAAUUCUAGAAAUUUGGCGAAACUCCAAACCGGUCACACGAGCGUGGUUCGACCGCGGUAUUACAGACGGAGAAUAUGGGCCCAACUGGGUAACAGGGUGGCUGUUGUACAGCGUGUUCCGUUCUCGAGACGUUCGAAAUAAUCGUAAUCGCCGGAAAGGCGAAGACGGAGGGUCUGGGAAUUCGGGUGGUCAGGGACAGCCGAAGAAUGGCCGAAGUGCUACCACUGGC
rnacentral:sRNA from 1 species